GUGGAUGACCGGACGACUGCUAAUUCGUUAGAGGAAAGUCGGAACUCCUUCGGACAGAGUGCCGGCUAACAGCCGGGCGGUGAAAACCGAUGGAAAGUGCAACAGAGAAUAGACUGCCUAUUUAUAGGUAAAGGUGAAAAGGUGCGGUAAGAGCGCACCGUGCUUUUGGUAACAGAAGUAGCUGGCAAACCCCGCUCGGAGCAAGACCAAAUAGAAGGGUGUUUAAAUGUCCGAUUUAGCCCUUGGGUAGGUUGCUUGAGAUUUAAGGUAACUUAAAUCCUAGAUGGAUAGUCGUACAUCGUUUUUUAAACGAGGACAGAAUUCCGCUUACAGGUCAUCCACAUAG
rnacentral:RNase_P_RNA from 1 species